GCGCCUUUAGCUCAGUUGGUAGAGCAACUGACUCUUAAUCAGUGGGUCCAGGGUUCGAGUCCCUGAAGGCGCA
rnacentral:tRNA from 1 species